rnacentral:misc_RNA from 1 species
GAUGAAGAACGCAGCGAAAUGCGAUACGUAAUGUGAAUUGCAGAAUUCAGUGAAUCAUCGAAUCUUUGAACGCAUAUUGCGCUCUUUGGUAUUCCGAAGAGCAUGCUUGUUUGAGUAUCAGUAAACGCCUCAACCUCUUCUUGAUUUUUCAAAAGGAGGGUGGACUUGAGCUAUCCCAACAACCUUUACCGGUCGGCGGGCGGCUUGAAAUGCAGGUGCAGCUGGACUUUUAUCUGAGCUAAAAGCAUAUCUAUUUAGUCCUCGUCAAACAGGAUUAUUACUUUUGCUGCAGCUAACAUAAAGGAUAAUUGUCCUCUUUGCUGACUGAUGCAGGAUUUUACGACACUUUAUGUGUUGUUCAACUCGAUCUCAAAUCAAGUAAGACUACCCGCUGAACUUAAGCAUAUCAAUAAGCGGAGGA